rnacentral:rRNA from 1 species
AGGUGAUGCCCAGUAACGGCGAGUGAGCGGCAAGAGCUCAAAUUUGAAAUCUGGCUCCUCCGGGGCCCGAGUUGUAAUUUGCAGAGGAUGCUUCGGGCGCGGUCCCCGUCUAAGUACCCUGGAACGGGUCGUCAUAGAGGGUGAGAAUCCCGUCUGGGACGGGUGGCCGUGUCCGUGUGAAGCUCCUUCGACGAGUCGAGUUGUUUGGGAAUGCAGCUCUAAAUGGGUGGUAAAUUUCAUCUAAAGCUAAAUAUUGGCCGGAGACCGAUAGCGCACAAGUAGAGUGAUCGAAAGAUGAAAAGCACUUUGAAAAGAGAGUUAAACAGCACGUGAAAUUGUUGAAAGGGAAGCGCUUGCGACCAGACUCGCCCGCGGGGGUUCACCCGGUACUCGUACCGGCGUACUCCCCCGGGGGCGGGCCAGCGUCGGUUUGGGCGGUCGGUCAAAGGCCUCCGGAAUGUGUCGCCCCCCGGGGCGUCUUAUAGCCGGAGGUGCAAUGCGGCCAGCCUGGACCGAGGAACGCGCUUCGGCUCGGACGCUGGCGUAAUGGUCGUAAGCGGCCCGUCUUGAAACACGGACCSA